ACGAGCCACAUGCUAGGAAACUUGCACGUGUGGUUCUGGCCGGGCUUUCCUGAGGUAUCUAAUAGUAUCUAAUAACCUUGCUUCUACUCGCC
rnacentral:ncRNA from 1 species